CGUGCGGGGGGGUGGGGGGUGUCACAGAGCUGGGAACUCGCUCAGAGCCAGGGUCUCUGCUGGGGUCAGCGUCUGUACGCUAAAGCCAGGGCGCAAAGUGCGUGGGCACUGCGGACACUAGAGGCUUAUGGCGCUGGAAAUACAAGGCCGAGUUGCCGGCGCAAAGAGUUCCCCGGGCGGGUUGGUGAUGCGGCGCGCUUUGAUAACAGGUGCCCAACACCUUGAUCAGUGCCUGCUUUGUAGUAGGCAUUCAAAUACUGUGGACUGGAUGAAUGGAGUCACUUCCCUUCCAACCUGCACACCAACGUGGUUGAACUGCCUCCUUUCUAAGUGCCAAAGUCUGUUUUACAAGGCUGCCCUGCUGUGCCCAUCUGGGCACCCAGUCCAGCCUCCCUUCCUGGGCGCCUUGACUCCCAACUGCAGAUGAAGUGUCUGGAAAUCAUGGUACUCAAGGUAGGAUCCACAUUGCCUGCCGGCCUAGGACCAAGAUCUGCAAGUCAGAACGAAACACCAGCUGUCCCUGUCUCCUGCACCCAUCCCCAUCCCGG
rnacentral:lncRNA from 10 species